rnacentral:rRNA from 1 species
UAAUACGUAGGGGGCAAGCGUUGUCCGGAUUUAUUGGGCGUAAAGAGCGUGUAGGCGGCCAGACAGGUCCGUUGUGAAAACUAGAGGCUUAACCUCUAGACGUCGAUGGAAACCGUCUGGCUAGAGUCCGGAAGAGGAGAAUGGAAUUCCUGGUGUAGCGGUGAAAUGCGCAGAUAUCAGGAAGAACACCCGUGGCUAAGGCGGUUCUCUAGUACGGUACUGACGCUGAGACGCGAAAGCGUGGGGAGCGAACAGGAUUAGAUACCCUGGUAGUCCACGCCGUAAACGAUGGAUGCUAGCCGUUGGCAGGCUUGCCUGUCAGUGGCGCAGCUAACGCAUUAAGCAUCCCGCCUGGGGAGUACGGUCGCAAGAUUA